UACGUAGGGGGCAAGCGUUGUCCGGAUUUAUUGGGCGUAAAGCGCGUGUAGGCGGCCACGCAGGUCCGCUGUGAAAACUCGAGGCUCAACCUCGAGCUGUCGGUGGAAACCGCGUGGCUAGAGUCCGGAAGAGGGGACUGGAAUUCCCGGUGUAGCGGUGGAAUGCGCAGAUAUCGGGAGGAACACCCGUGGCGAAGGCGGCGUCCUGGACUGGUACUGACGCUCAGGAGCGAAAGCGUGGGGAGCGAGUCCGG
rnacentral:rRNA from 1 species